rnacentral:lncRNA from 1 species
GAACCGCCGCGAGCUGUCCCUAGCAGUGCCUUAGCCAGGGACCUGCUUGGCCAGCGACAGAUCCUUUGCUGCUCUGUCUGCCGGUUCUUGAGAUGGAGUCUCUCACUCUGUUGCCCAGGCUGGAGUGUUGUUGAUGGCAACAGUGGGCCAUCUGGACCAUCUGGAGUGGCCACUGCCAAGAUGCUGGCUGCAGCCAGGAGGCUCUGCCCAUGCUAAGUCAUGGCUGCUGGCUGAGCCUCCCUGUGUUCUUGGAGACCAGGAGCAGGCAGGAGCCCUGCUCUCCUGGGUGCAACUGCAGCCACCCAAGUCCUUGCUACAGACCGUGUUCUUGGAGGCUGGGAGCAGGCAGGAGUGCCAAAGCAGGCAGGAGUGCUGGAGCAGGCAUGAGCCCUUCCUGCAUCCCCCACCUCCUUUGUGCAGCUGUAGCCACCCAGGUUGUGGCUGCGGACCAACCUGGAUAUCUCUGCACUCUAGGGGCCUGGGAAGGCACCCCCACCUCAGCAGGCUUGGAGGUAUCUGCUUCUGCUGCCUGGCCUCUCCCUGCUCCUGGUGACUGCUCUGAUCUAGGAGCAAGGUUGGGGCCGAGCCAGGGUGCUGUUGCAGCCCAGCCAGUUGUGCGCAUACUUGAGGCAGUGCUGACAGGCCAUUCCUCUGCUGCUUCAGCCCCCUCCAGACUUUGGGUGCUGACAAACAUAGAAGGGAGGCUGAGGGAAGGCUGAAGGCAGUUCAGCAUUUGCCUGCAGGUGCUUGUCCCCACGAACAGCCUGGGCACCAUAGAAAGCAGUAGGAGGCGACAUGCUCUGAGGCAGAAAGGGGCGGGUCCCCAGAAGGCCUGAAGCCUAAUGGCCAGGCCACCAGUCCCCCUGACUGGAGGGGGAACUGGUGGUGCUUUUUCUUGGACCUGCCCAUGGCCACCAAUGGACCAAUCAGCAUGCACUUCUUCCUCUCUGAGGCCCAUAAAAUUCCCUGGACUCAGCCAGACUGGGGGAGAAGACCUGCCAGCAGAGAGGAGCUACCUACUCCAGGGCCUCUUUUCUGCUGAGAGCUGCAGAGACAACAGGAGGACCAACCUGCAGAGAGGAGCUACCCACUUCAGGGCCUCCUCUUUGCUGACAGCUGCAGCGAUGAUGGGACAAGCUGCCUGCAGAGAGGAGCUACCCACUCCAGGGUCUCCUCUGAGCUAUUCUGUUGCUCAGUAAAGCUCCUCCUUCUCAGUAAAGCUCCUCUUCACUUUGCUCAGCCUCCACUUGUCUACAUACCUCAUUCUAUCUGGAUGCAGGACAAGAACUUGAGACCUGCUGAAUGGUGGGGCUGAAAGAGCUGUAACACAAACAGAGCUGAAACAUGCCCCUUGCUCACCACAUUGCAGGCAAAGAGGAGAGAAGAGCUGUGGCCCUUCAGGAAGCCCAGACCAGGAAGCUCCCUGAGCCAGGAUUGUGACUCCCGUUGGGGCCCUGCAUUUCCUGGAGUCUCCAAGCUUCUGGGCACCACUGUGGUGUACUUAGUCCAGUCACAGCCUUGCAGUGAGCCAGGGCCCGUACUGGCACCUGGAGCUGCCCACCCUGCUGCAGCAGCCAGCGUGCCUGACUGUGUGCAGUGGCCAGACCCCACACUCUUUCGCUCACACAUCCCUUGCUACUUCACGCCUGGCUCACCCUUGGCAGGGGCGAGAUACAGGCUGGUAGCAUUAGCCAAGCACAGCCUGCCAGGCUGAGUGGGCAGAACGAUCCCAGUGGGCCCAAGCAAAACUCAGGCAAAGGCACCACUGGCCACAGAGGUUUCUGACUAGAAAAGCAACACCCCAAGUAUCCUGUGACACAGUGGCAUGAUCUCAUCUCAUUGCAACCUCCACCUCCUGGGUUCAAGCUAUUCUUGUGCCUCAGCUUCUGGUGUAGCUGGGGCUACAGGUGCGUGCCACCACAUCUAUCUAAUUUUUGUAUUUUUUUUUUUUUAGUAGAGACGGGGUCUCACCAUGUUGACCAGGCUGGUCUCAAACUCCUGACUUCAGGUGAUCCGCCUGCCUCAGCCUUCCAAAGUGCUGGGAUUUCAGGUGUGGCCUACCAUGCCCAGCCUGUUAUGCCUCUUGAUUGACUCCUUUUUCAUAAUGAAAUGACCUUCUUUAUCCCUGAUAUAUCAGUCAGUGUUCAACCAGAGACACAAAACAAGUAAUUGAAUAUAUGUAUAUGUACAUAUGGAUUUGUUAAAGAGAAUUGGCUUACACAAUUAUGAGAGCUAGUUAGGCACUCUUAUAAUGCUGUUGUGUCUGAUGCUAGAAUUUGAUGUUGGCAGAGUAGUCAGAAAGGAAGAUGGAAGUAAAGUGGGAGAAGUCAAGGUCAGGCUGGAAGUCACAAGUACAAACUUGAACCUCAUGAAAAUGGACUGAAAUCCAUGUUAGUUCUUGUUGCCUUUGACCUUGGUGGUGAGGGUAUCCUUCAGAAGCUGGGGCUGUUUGUCAUAAACACACAUACAUAGGCCAGGAGUUGGAGAAGCUGAAGGAGGAUCUAGAGGAUGGUAGAGUAGUUGCAGGCCAAGCUGCUACAAAAUGAGUCAACAAAGUGAGUCACCAGUCAGCAACAACAUAUGUGAACUACAAAUGGCUACUAUUUCCUUUCCACAUUACACAUCUCCCAAAAAUUGCCUUUUUGGCCCGCCCAAACUGUAAACAUAAAAUAAAUAAUUCUAGGAAAACUGGUGCACUUUAAGCAAGAUGACACAUUAUAAAAGCAUCAUGGUCUGCCCCUUGUCAACUUAGUACCAUACAUGUUUCUUUAAGCCAUACUUUAAUUCUCCAAAUUAUGAUAACAAUGAAGUUGUGCUUUCACCUUACAUAACACUACUAUCACAUAACUAUUAACAUGCUAACCAUUUCCCAAAAGAGGAAAAUAGUCUUUUUGUUGGUCCAUGAAUGGCAUUCAUUCUGCUCCCAGAUGAUAACCCUCCUUCUUUCAUAUCCUAUAACUUAAAUACUGACAUAUAAAGUUAACUAUUAACACAUAUUGUGUUAGAUGAUAAGAUGAGAGAAGGAAGAAACAUAAAUUUUCAAGUAGUUUCCAAAAGAAGCUGGGUGUAUAUCAUUGCCCACCAGAAUGUUCUUCUUGAAUUCAACUAGACUUUUAGACCUUCAAGACUACUGCAGAUCACCCUUGGCAUCAGAUUAACUUAGAAGGAUAGGACAGAAGCCACAGCUGACCAGUAGGCAGCACCUACCCCUCUUCGGUGGUAGUGGUACUCACAGUAUUUUACACAAGCAUGCAGGGUUUUUUUUUUUUUUUGGCCUUCCCAUUCCAAGUUGACAGCUCAGAUGCAAGGAGAUGAGACUUACAUUGGGAACCUGUGGGAUGCAUCUGGAUUAGAAACUUCCACAGGAGCUAAUAUGUCUUAUAGCAACUCCAUGGACAUAGCUUCUAGAAUUUCUGUAAGAGACAUGCCAAUUACAAGAGUCACUAUACUCAGGGAGGCCCAAAGUUAUAGUAUCCAUUAGCAUAGUCAAUAUUUAUAGUUCAUUUAUAAUUCUUUUGGUAAUCAGGAAACAUUUUUACCAUAAACAAUAUUGUUGGGUAACAUAAUUGACCUAUUAAUAAGUUUUCAAUAAAACAGAAUGAGAAAAUUAACCAAAGGUUAAUUCUCAUGUACAAAGGUAAAGUGUUUUGUUAACCUUUUACCCAAAAGUGAUGAUAUGAAUGUAGAUUUUUUUGGGUGUUUGACCAAGGAAGCCAAACCAUUCUUUCAGAUUAUGUUAGAUUUGUAGCUUUGUGGAGUGUUGCCAGAGAUGUUGCUUUCUGUGUGUGAGUUUGAUGAGCUAACCUGGAGUUUGUUUGUUGGACUGGCCAAAACAAAUCUGAGCCAACUAUGGUCCAUAUCAGCUGACACUGAAGAAGUUCCUCUCAAUGAAGUAAAUGGAAUUGAAGGGUUUCCAGAGAGAUUAGCAGUGAUAAUACAGGCAUGGGAAGUGAUAUAAAAUUCUCAAGAAUGAAACUGAUAGGCCACCACCAAUAUUCUACCUGAAUUCUAUUUCUCAUUUCACUUGGGGGAAACUAGGUCAAACUAACAUGUGUACUAAUAUAUGUCUAACUUAGGCAUACGCUCUAGAGCAGUGAUUCUCAAUCUUUUUGAGAUAGUAAAUUUAUUUGAGAAAAGGAUGAAAACUGCAGACUUCUUCCUCAGAUAAAUGAACAUAAAGACCUACAUGUGGACUUUUGCUUAUCAUGUAUUGUAUUGGAAAUUAAUUUUCUUUGAUACUUAGACUGUGUAAACAAUUUUCACAAGGAAGGGAUUUCAAUUUAAAAAUCAAUUUCCAGUUCUGGGGAAAAAAAGGAAAUAAAUCAAAAUUGUGAAGCCACAUUAAAAAUUAACUUGCCUUUUGCUCAUAUUAACAAGUAGGCUGCUGCUCAAAUAAAUAUUAACAAGUAUUAACAUGUUUGUUGUGAAUAAGAUCUUUAAAUUAUGGGUAAUAAGACAUCUUUGACAUGUCAGUGUGCAUGUCCAGUUGACACUGACUUCCUAAAACUCAGAACCAGUGCUGAAAACUCUGAUUCAGAAAAGAAAAUAAUGGCCAGUGUAAUCACAGUUCCCAAGGUUCACUUUGACAGAAGUGACUGGCCUUGUAUCAAGAAAUACUAUAAUUCCCCAAGAUCUUUAAAGUUGAGUUCAGGUCAGAUAAUUCCCUUUGUUUUUUAUCAGUAAGGUCAUUGGCAUCACCUUGAAAAAUCUUUAUCUGUUAAAUAACUGAAAGCCAAGUCAUGGUGUUUUGUGUGUGUGUGUGUAUGUGUGUGUUUUCUUUCUUUUUUUUCAGUAAGUGUUGCUUGCCUUCUAUGUCUCUCUCUCUGCCUCUCUCUCUCUUUUUAUAAAUGGUGGUUGCCUUCUCUGUCUCUCUCCUCUCUAUUUUUUUUUUUUUUUUGAGACAAAGUAUCACUGUGUCACCCAGGCCGGAGUGCAGUGGUGUGAUCACAGCUCACUGCAGCCUCAACCUCCUGGGCUUAAGUGAUCCUCCCACCUCAACCUUCUAAGUGGCUGGGAAUAUAGGCGCAUGCCACCAUGACUGGCUAAUUUUUCUAUUUUUUUGUAGAGUCAGGGUUUACUAUGUUGCCCAGGCUGGUCUUGAACUCCUGGGCUCAAUCAGUCUACCCACCUCAGUCUCCCAAACUGCUGGGAUUACAGGCAUGAGCCACUGCUUCUGGCCCACAGUGGUUUAAAUAAAUCUUGGUUUAUGUUAAUCACAUUGUUGUGGAUUGAAUUGUAUCCCCCCAAAAGAUAGGUUCAAGCCCUAACCUCCAUUACCUGUGAAUGUAACUUUACUUGAAAAUAGGGUCUGUGUAGGCUGAAUGUUAUGUCCCCCCAAAAUUCAUAUAUUAAAUUGUAACUCCUCAUGUGAUAGUAUUUGGACAUGGGCCUAUGGGAGGUAAUUAGGUUAUAAGGGCAGAGCCUUUAUGAGUGGGAUUAAGUGUCUUUAUAAAAUAGGACUUGGAGUGCUCCAAGGCUUUCUGCCGUAUGAGGACACAGUGAGAAGAUGGCUUCUAUGAACCAGGAAGCAGACCCUCUCCAGACACCAAAUCUUUCAGUGCCUUGAUCUUGUACUUUCCAGCCUCCAGUACUAUGAGAAAUAAAUUUCUGUUGUUUA